GAGUUGCCUUUGUAUGCUGGGAGGACCAAGCCGGAGGUUCCCACUAUGAGCCCGGAGUCUGUGCAGCCAGAUGACGCAUGAGCUCUAUUCAAAAUACCCAAGAUUUGGAAGCAACCUAAGUGCAUAUCAGCAGACAAAUGGAUAAAGAAAAUGUGGUACAUAUACAAAAUGGAGUACUAUUCAGCUGUAAAAAAGAAUGAGAUCCUGUCAUUUGCAACAACAUGCAUGCAACUGGAGGUCGUUAUGCCUCUGCCUCUGAAUGUGAAGGGAAACUGGACCAGCUCAGUGUCAAGCCUACAGACAUUUCCUUGUUCCUGGGGACUGAGCAGUUUGAAGUUUCCAAAGAUGAAAACAUCUACUCUGAAGAGACCUGAAUGGACAAGAGAUGUUUUCCUCUUCCUUACCAUAAUAAAAGAGGACUGCUCCUGACCACAGGAUAUGCCUGGUCCAGGAAAUGGCCACAUUUCCCCCCUCAGGACCUCUACUUGGAUGGGCUGCCUUGGAAAUAAGUAUACUGGAUUGGAAACCCAUUCAAUCUGAUGUCUGCUGAGGAAUGGAGAAAGACCACUGGUGAUUCCUCCAUCCUCACUCCUGUGUCCCUCCUUGCAUUGCAAGUGCUUUACAAGUCUUCCCGAUAGACCAUGAGCAUCCUGAGGGCUGGUAUCAAAUUUAACUCAUCUCCUAUCCUCAGUGCCUCGUACAAGAUGCUGGAUGUAGGAGGAGUUCAGAAGCUCAAACUGAGGCAGAAUCACAGCGAUUUGGAAAAUGGUCCAAUCAGCUAUAGUGGAAGAGCAGAAUCAUUGAAUAUAAAACAUGGAGAUGUCAGCAGCAGGGGCUGUGAGCUGAACAGCUUCACUGGGAAGAGGAUAUGGGUGAGAAGGUACAGCAAUGGGUACCUCCAUUAACAGGUAAGCUGGAUCCUCCAUAGGAAUAGGCACUAGCUGGUUUUGGAUGAAGGUGUCGUAAGAUCAGAUACACUUUUGGGUGAUCAGCAUGAUCUGGGUAUGGACAUGGCAGAGCAGGUGGAAGGGAAGGGACCAAUAUGUGUCAAUAACCAUCUAUGAGCCAGGCACUUACCGGGAAGUAUAAUGUCUUUGUAGUUAGACAGACCAGUAGUGUCUGUUGCUCUGGAGGAAGUUACUUAAACUCACCAAGACUCAGUUUUCUCUGUAUUAAAAUGAUGACACCUACCUCACUAUCUGGCCAUUGGGAUUAAAUAUGAGAAUAUGUGUGAAAAUUUAUGUCAUAUGGUAAGCACUCAGAUGUUUCCUGGUGGAACAGCAUGGUGUGGAUUAGGAACAUCCAAACUCUGACAUCAAGCUGAACUUUUGAAAUAGAGGCCUCCCUGCUCACUAGUUGGGCAACCUUGAACAAGCUAGUUAAACUGUCUAGAGCUCAGUUUUGUUAUCUGGUGAGAUUAAUAGCAUUGAAUGGUGUAAAGCACAUUCUCAGUAAAUGCUCAUUAUUAUGAUUAUAGUUAUUAAUGUUUAUUUAACUUUGAAAUAAUAAUGUGUAGGAGCUCCUCAGGUAGAUAAUGGAAAUAAGAAAUUUCUUAGGUCAUGGAAGCAUGGAGGUAUGGAAAAUUUUGGAGAACAAAGAGGAGUCUGGUGAAGUAGGGUGGGGAUACUGGGCAGAUGCAAAGAUUGCCAAGGGUUAUAUCAUAAAGGCCGGGAUACCAGCCUGGCAUCAACUGCCUUAGAUUGGGAAGAUGCAAAACUGUGGUCUGGAGUCAGCCCUGCAGAAGCCUGUUUCCUGACUUUCCAUCUUCAAUCUCUUUUCUAUGCAGUUACCAGAGUCAUGUUUUGAAAUCUCAAAUCUGAGCAUCUAUCCUCAAAUAGAGGCCUACAUGGCUUCCAGUUCCUCCAGGAGAAGGUCCAAAUCCCUUAAGAUGACUUUAAGGCCCUCAAGUGUUCCAGGCUCUGUACGUUCUUGUGCCACAACUAUGCCACAACAAAACAGUUUUUCCCCCAUUUCUACUUUGUUUUUCCAGCUGUAGAGUCAAAGCCUCAAGA
rnacentral:lncRNA from 10 species